rnacentral:rRNA from 1 species
CAAUAGCGUAUACUAAAGUUGUUGCAGUUAAAAGCUCGUAGUUGAAUUUCUGGUCGUGAAACGUGGUCCGUUCCGCAAGGAAUGUGUACUGUCGAUUUAUGUCCAUCCUCGGUGUUAGUAUGCAUUACUUUAAUCGGUCGUGUAUACAACCACCGUCAUUUACUGUGAGCAAAUAGAGUGUUCAAAGCAGGCUUAUGCCGUUGAAUAUAUUAGCAUGGAAUAAUAAGAUAUGACUUUGGUCUAUUUUUGUUGGUUUGCACUCCAAAGUAAUGAUUAAUAGGGAUAGUUGGGGUGAUUCGUAUUCAAUUUGUCAAGUAGGUGAAAAUUGCUUAUGGUAGUUUUUAUGGGAAAGACGAACUACUGCGAAAGCAUUUACCAAGGAUGUUUUCAUUAAUCAAGAACGAAAGUUAGGGGA